rnacentral:snRNA from 1 species
GACACGCACACAGAGACAUCUGAUAAAAUUGAAACAAUACAGAGAAUAUUAGCAUGGUCCCUGUGCAAGGAUGACACACACAAAUCGAGAAAUGGUCCAAUUUAUU